UCAAUCAUUGAUUGAUUCAUGUAUCUUUUGGGGAGCCAUGCAGACAUAUAAGUAGGGUUGCUACAUCUCUGUGUAGGUGUGUGCAUUUGUAAUUGGAGACGAUAAUAGGGUUUUUUAUCAGACAUCUCAACAUUAUUUCAUUAUUUGAUUUCACAGUGUACAUUCUUCAUGGUUCUUCACCUAUUUUGGUACUAAAUGGGCCAGUAAAUUAUAAGCUUUAUCUCCUAAACCCUGGAGUUAAGCAGCGUCAGAUACCUGAAGAUGACUUGUAUGCAAAUUGGAUUGAAGGAGGACUUUUUGGCCUCUGUUUCCAAUUCCAGUAUAUGUUCAGUCAAGUACAGCCUAAAAGAAGACCAGGAAAUCUGAAAAUGCGGGAGUGGAAUAACAAUCCAUCAAAGAAUGACACAUUAGCAUGGAGACAGUCACAUUGCUUGUCCACUUGUCACAGCUGAACUCUAAGCUAUUCAGCCAACACCCUGAGACUGACCCCAACAAGGUGGUGGCUCUACAUGCUACCUCCUGCAUUGAAAACAUGGAAGAUUCCUGCUGGUUCCCAAAGUGUCUUAAAGGAAAAGGUUCAUCAAGGACUGGAAGCAACCAAGGUGAGUCUAGAGGAAAAAGACUUCACCUGGUGCAAAUCUGUUCAGUCAACUCUAGCCAACGUGCCUACCAAAUUGCAAGACAAAUAUAGGGAGAAAUAUGGUGAAUAGUUUCUGGAUUAUGUGUAGUGGCACUAUAAUAUCAUAAUGGUAUUUCAAGUAGUUUCUGAAUAACAUAAAGUUAUCACAUAAAACUGUUGCUUUAAAUCGUCACAAUUUAGCAUUUUAACAUUCUUUCUAUUGCCUCCCAUGAAUGAUGUGAUGCAGAACAGGACCUGCUGUUGGAAGGAGAUAACUCAAAUGCUGUGCAUGCACAUUGAAACUGAUCUUUCACUGUCACAUCUCUGUGGUACACAAGAAGGAAAUAAACCACCAGGAAACAGUAACACUGACUUUCAAAAGACAAAAUGCAGCACGAAGCCAUAAGGCUUUUGCUAGGAUUGGAUAAGCUUGGAUCUAGAGCUGUGUGAAGCUCACAGCUUUAGUUUACCUAUGCUUCAGCAAAUUUUGCCAGUAGGCUGUUUUGCUUUGCUUGAUUUCCCACCAAUAAAUUUCAGACUUAUGUGUGCUGGAAAAUCAGAGCUGGUGCUGAACUUAGGCAAAUUUCGCUUUUCCCUCGCACAUUACCAACACACAGUUAAUCUCCUGCUGUCUCUGACAGCGUAGGGGAAUAGUAGUAUCACAUAUGCUCAGAAUCAUCACACAAAAUGUUUCAAGAGCAAACAAGGAAAAAGACCUAGCGCUAACUUAAUAUGACCUACUGCCACCUGCAAGGUCAUUUACCUGUGCUGAGAGAGAGCAUACAAGUUUUUUUCUGGAUGAAGGACUUGCACGGCUGGUGGGAUCUUGAAAGCUGCAGAUCCAUGCCUGGCAGCCAUGAGCUUUGCUUUGUAAAUACAUUCCUCCCACCUACCAAACAGCAGGCCAUGUUAUUGUUUCAGGUUGGGU